rnacentral:rRNA from 1 species
CCCUUAGAUGUCCGGGGCCGCACGCGCGCUACUCUGAAGGAAUCAGCGUGGCUUUCUCCCUGACCCGAAAGGGUUGGGAAACCCGUUGAAUCUCCUUCGUGAUAGGGAUUGGGGCUUGAAAUUGUUCCCCAUGAACGAGGAAUUCCCAGUAAGCGCGAGUCAUAAGCUCGCGUUGAUUACGUCCCUGCCCUUUGUACACACCGCCCGUCGCUACUACCGAUUGAACGGUUUAGUGAGGGCCUCGGAUUGGUCUCGGCCCGCUCUUUACCGGGCGGCGCCGUUGGUCGAGAAGACGCUCGAACUUGAUCGUUUAGAGGAAGUAAAAGUCGUAACA